rnacentral:rRNA from 1 species
UACGGGGGGGGCAAGCGUUGUUCGGAAUUACUGGGCGUAAAGGGCUCGUAGGCGGCCAACUAAGUCGGACGUGAAAUCCCCAGGCUCAACCUGGGAACUGCGUCCGAUACUGGAUGGCUUGAAUCCGGGAGAGGGAUGCAGAAUUCCAGGUGUAGCGGUGAAAUGCGUAGAUAUCUGGGGGAACACCGGUGGCGAAGGCGGCAUCCUGGACCGACACUGACGCUGAGGAGCGAAAGCCAGGGGAGCAAACGGG